UUUUUACUUCCUCCAUUACAAAUUACUCGUCGUAGGUAUGGAUGUAUCUAGAUGUAUUUUAGUUCUAGAUACAUCCAUUUCUGUGACGAGUAAUUUGGAACGGAGAGAGUAUUUC
rfam:Triticum aestivum genome assembly, contig: Triticum_aestivum_CS42_TGACv1_scaffold_621863_7DS